rnacentral:rRNA from 1 species
GUGUCAGCCGCCGCGGUAAUACGUAGGGCGCAAGCGUUGUCCGGAAUUAUUGGGCGUAAAGAGCUCGUAGGUGGCUUGUCGCGUCGGUUGUGAAAGCCCACAGCUUAACUGUGGGUCUGCAUUCGAUACGGGCAGGCUAGAGGUAGGUAGGGGAGAACGGAAUUCCUGGUGUAGCGGUGAAAUGCGCAGAUAUCAGGAGGAACACCGGUGGCGAAGGCGGUUCUCUGGGCCUUACCUGACGCUGAGGAGCGAAAGCGUGGGGAGCGAACAGGAUUAGAAACCCCCGUAGUCC